GACGAACGCUGGCGGCGUGCUUAACACAUGCAAGUCGAACGGAAAGGCCCUGCUUUUGUGGGGUGCUCGAGUGGCGAACGGGUGAGUAACACGUGAGUAACCUGCCCUUGACUUUGGGAUAACUUCAGGAAACUGGGGCUAAUACCGGAUAGGAGCUCCUGCUGCAUGGUGGGGGUUGGAAAGUUUCGGCGGUUGGGGAUGGACUCGCGGCUUAUCAGCUUGUUGGUGGGGUAGUGGCUUACCAAGGCUUUGACGGGUAGCCGGCCUGAGAGGGUGACCGGCCACAUUGGGACUGAGAUACGGCCCAGACUCCUACGGGAGGCAGCAGUGGGGAAUAUUGCACAAUGGGCGGAAGCCUGAUGCAGCAACGACGCGUGCGGGAUGACGGCCUUCGGGUUGUAAACCGCCUUCGCCUGUGACGAAGCGUGAGUGACGGUAAUGGGUAAAGAAGCACCGGCUAACUACGUG
rnacentral:rRNA from 1 species